rnacentral:rRNA from 1 species
GGUUAAGUUAGAAAGGGCGCACGGUGGAUGCCUUGGCACUAGGAGCCGAUGAAGGACGGGACGAACACCGAUAUGCUUCGGGGAGCUGUAAGCAAGCUUUGAUCCGGAGAUUUCCGAAUGGGGAAACCCACCACUCGUAAUGGAGUGGUAUCCAUAUCUGAAUACAUAGGAUAUGAGAAGGCAGACCCGGGGAACUGAAACAUCUAAGUACCCGGAGGAAGAGAAAGCAAAUGCGAUUCCCUGAGUAGCGGCGAGCGAAACGGGACCAGCCCAAACCAAGAGGCUUGCCUCUUGGGGUUGUAGGACACUCUGUACGGAGUUACAAAGGAACGAGGUAGAUGAAGAGGUCUGGAAAGGCCCGCCAUAGGAGGUAACAGCCCUGUAGUCAAAACUUCGUUCUCUCCUGAGUGGAUCCUGAGUACGGCGGAACACGUGAAAUUCCGUCGGAAUCCGGGAGGACCAUCUCCCAAGGCUAAAUACUCCCUAGUGACCGAUAGUGAACCAGUACCGUGAGGGAAAGGUGAAAAGCACCCCGGAAGGGGAGUGAAAGAGAUCCUGAAACCGUGUGCCUACAAGUAGUCAGAGCCCGUUAACGGGUGAUGGCGUGCCUUUUGUAGAAUGAACCGGCGAGUUACGAUCCCGUGCAAGGUUAAGCAGAAGAUGCGGAGCCGCAGCGAAAGCGAGUCUGAAUAGGGCGAAUUGAGUACGUGGUCGUAGACCCGAAACCAGGUGAUCUACCCAUGUCCAGGGUGAAGUUCAGGUAACACUGAAUGGAGGCCCGAACCCACGCACGUUGAAAAGUGCGGGGAUGAGGUGUGGGUAGGGGUGAAAUGCCAAUCGAACCUGGAGAUAGCUGGUUCUCUCCGAAAUAGCUUUAGGGCUAGCCUCAAGGUAAGAGUCUCGGAGGUAGAGCACUGAUUGGACUAGGGGCCCCUACCGGGUUACCGAAUUCAGUCAAACUCCGAAUGCCGAUGACUUAUCCUUGGGAGUCAGACUGCGAGUGAUAAGAUCCGUAGUCGAAAGGGAAACAGCCCAGACCGCCAGCUAAGGUCCCAAAGUAUACGUUAAGUGGAAAAGGAUGUGGAGUUGCUUAGACAACCAGGAUGUUGGCUUAGAAGCAGCCACCAUUUAAAGAGUGCGUAAUAGCUCACUGGUCGAGUGACUCUGCGCCGAAAAUGUACCGGGGCUAAACGUAUCACCGAAGCUGCGGACUGUUCUUCGAACAGUGGUAGGAGAGCGUUCUAAGGGCUGUGAAGCAAGACCGGAAGGACUUGUGGAGCGCUUAGAAGUGAGAAUGCCGGUAUGAGUAGCGAAAGAGGGGUGAGAAUCCCCUCCACCGAAUGCCUAAGGUUUCCUGAGGAAGGCUCGUCCGCUCAGGGUUAGUCGGGACCUAAGCCGAGGCCGAAAGGCGUAGGCGAUGGACAACAGGUUGAUAUUCCUGUACCACCUCCUCACCAUUUGAGCAAUGGGGGGACGCAGGAGGAUAGGGUAAGCGCGGUAUUGGAUAUCCGCGUCCAAGCAGUUAGGCUGGGAAAUAGGCAAAUCCGUUUCCCGUGAAGGCUAAGCUGUGAUGGCGAGCGAAUUAUAGUAGCGAAGUUCCUGAUUCCACACUGCCAAGAAAAGCCUCUAGCGAGGUGAGAGGUGCCCGUACCGCAAACCGACACAGGUAGGCGAGGAGAGAAUCCUAAGGUGAUCGAGAGAACUCUCGUUAAGGAACUCGGCAAAAUGACCCCGUAACUUCGGGAGAAGGGGUGCUCUGUUAGGGUGCAAGCCCGAGAGAGCCGCAGUGAAUAGGCCCAGGCGACUGUUUAGCAAAAACACAGGUCUCUGCGAAGCCGUAAGGCGAAGUAUAGGGGCUGACGCCUGCCCGGUGCUGGAAGGUUAAGAGGAGCGCUUAGCGUAAGCGAAGGUGCGAAUUGAAGCCCCAGUAAACGGCGGCCGUAACUAUAACGGUCCUAAGGUAGCGAAAUUCCUUGUCGGGUAAGUUCCGACCCGCACGAAAGGCGCAACGAUCUGGGCACUGUCUCAACGAGAGACUCGGUGAAAUUAUAGUACCUGUGAAGAUGCAGGUUACCCGCGACAGGACGGAAAGACCCCGUGGAGCUUUACUGCAGCCUGAUAUUGAAUGUUGGUACAGCUUGUACAGGAUAGGUAGGAGCCUUGGAAACCGGAGCGCUAGCUUCGGUGGAGGCAUCGGUGGGAUACUACCCUGGCUGUAUUGACCUUCUAACCCGCCGCCCUCAUCGGGCGGGGAGACAGUGUCAGGUGGGCAGUUUGACUGGGGCGGUCGCCUCCUAAAAGGUAACGGAGGCGCCCAAAGGUUCCCUCAGAAUGGUUGGAAAUCAUUCGCAGAGUGUAAAGGCACAAGGGAGCUUGACUGCGAGACCUACAAGUCGAGCAGGGACGAAAGUCGGGCUUAGUGAUCCGGUGGUUCCGCAUGGAAGGGCCAUCGCUCAACGGAUAAAAGCUACCCCGGGGAUAACAGGCUUAUCUCCCCCAAGAGUCCACAUCGACGGGGAGGUUUGGCACCUCGAUGUCGGCUCAUCGCAUCCUGGGGCUGUAGUCGGUCCCAAGGGUUGGGCUGUUCGCCCAUUAAAGCGGUACGCGAGCUGGGUUCAGAACGUCGUGAGACAGUUCGGUCCCUAUCCGUCGCGGGCGCAGGAAAUUUGAGAGGAGCUGUCCUUAGUACGAGAGGACCGGGAUGGACGCACCGCUGGUGUACCAGUUGUUCUGCCAAGGGCAUCGCUGGGUAGCUAUGUGCGGACGGGAUAAGUGCUGAAAGCAUCUAAGCAUGAAGCCCCCCUCAAGAUGAGAUUUCCCAUUCCGCAAGGAAGUAAGAUCCCUGAAAGAUGAUCAGGUUGAUAGGUCUGAGGUGGAAGUGUGGCGACACAUGGAGCUGACAGAUACUAAUCGAUCGAGGACUUAACCAA